AUACGUAGGGAGCGAGCGUUGUCCGGAAUUACUGGGCGUAAAGGGCGCGUAGGCGGCGCUUCAAGUCGUCUGUCAAAUGGGAGGGCUUAACCCUUUUUCGCAGACGAAACUGGAGAGCUUGAGAAGCAGAGAGGCAAACAGAAUUCCUGGUGUAGCGGUGAAAUGCGUAGAUAUCAGGAAGAAUACCAGUGGCGAAGGCGGUUUGCUGGCUGCAUACUGACGCUGAAGCGCGAAAGCCAGGGGAGCAAACGGGAUUAGAUACCCCGGUAGUCCUGGCAGUAAACGAUGUAUGCUGGGUGUGAGACUAGCGAUAGUUUCGUGCCGAAGUUAACGCGAUAAGCAUACCGCCUGGGGAGUACGGUCGCAAGAUUGAAACUCAAAGGAAUGGACGGGG
rnacentral:rRNA from 1 species